ensembl:ncRNA K07E12.8 ncRNA
UACUGCUCCAUCACCAGUGUAUAAACAAAAUGUUUCUCCCCCGACUUCUAGGGCACCACCAUAACCCCCGUGUGGACUAUAAAAAUGCAUAAACUAUUUGAUGAUCGAA